rnacentral:rRNA from 1 species
GGCGUAAGGGCUCGCAGGCGGUUUCUUAAGUCUGAUGUGAAAGCCCCCGGCUCAACCGGGGAGGGUCAUUGGAAACUGGGGAACUUGAGUGCAGAAGAGGAGAGUGGAAUUCCACGUGUAGCGGUGAAAUGCGUAGAGAUGUGGAGGAACACCAGUGGCGAAGGCGACUCUCUGGUCUGUAACUGACGCUGAGGAGCGAAAGCGUGGGGAGCGAACAGGAUUAGAUACCCUGGUAGUCCACGCCGUAAACGAUGAGUGCUAAGUGUUAGGGGGUUUCCGCCCCUUAGUGCUGCAGCUAACGCAUUAAGCACUCCGCCUGGGGAGUACGGUCGCAAGACUGAAACUCAAAGGAAUUGACGG